CACGGAUGCACACACAUGCACU
rnacentral:miRNA from 1 species